rnacentral:rRNA from 1 species
UACGUAGGGGGCUAGCGUUGUCCGGAUUUAUUGGGCGUAAAGAGCGUGUAGGCGGCCAGGUAGGUCUGGUGUGAAAACUCGAGGCUUAACCUCGAGAUGUCAUCGGAAACCAUCUGGCUAGAGUCCGGAAGAGGAGAGUGGAAUUCCUGGUGUAGCGGUGAAAUGCGCAGAUAUCAGGAGGAACACCGGUGGCGAAGGCGGGUCUCUGGGAUGAUGCUGACGCUGAGGCGCGAAAGCCAGGGGAGCAAACGGG